rnacentral:sRNA from 1 species
UCACAGGAAGAAUCUCAAAUAUGGGAGGAAGUGAACAUACCUUGGUUGUCUUAGGAGGGAAAAAAAAAGAGUCAGAGUCACAGUGUCACAAUGAUUAAAGAAAAAGUUGGGGCUGGCAGCAGCCGACACCCUUUCUAUUGGUGAAAGACUUCUGUAGAGAAUGUGGCCAAAGAGACACCUAGGCUCAUAAAGGCCAGAAUUCUGACUCCAUGUUCUAUGAGGUCACAAGAGCUAAUUCUCCAGCAUAGCUGAAAGUUCCAAUGUCAAGUUCUCUGGGGACACAGAAUACUAGAGUGCUGCAGACAUGGAGCUCUGCCCUUCCUCCAGCCCCAGCCUGCGCACCUUAGCUCUGGCUGCCCCUUCUGUGCAUCAGCUGGAAUUCCCCAGGAGGUAGAGGAGGUUUUGCACAGGGGAAGGCCGUCAAUCACCGGAACUGGGAGGGUAGGACCGUGCUGAGAGGGGAACCCAAGUUCUCAUUCAGGGUGGAGCAACAGCUAAGUCCUGACCAACCUGAGGCAGGCUCGACCUGAUGAAGGGACAGCUCAUCGGGAUCCCUUGUAGUAGCUGGCUCCCCUACAGUCUGGAAUGCCUCAGGGCCAACGUGGGAUCAAGCAGGAAAAGGAAACUGCUGGAUUAACUGUGCCAAACUCAAAUCACUAUGUUCAGUGAAUUACAAGGAGCCAAAGGAAAUGAUGAGGGUAGAUAAGAGACUAAGGUGAACCAAAUGUCCCUAGAGGCUCUAACUGCUGUAUGCGCUUGAUCCCACCAUCCUACUAUCCCUUGUGCCAUAGGUGAGCAUGUGACGAGCGACUACUUGGAGCCAAACAUUUAUGUCCUCCUGAGUCAACUUGUGAAGCUACACACAUGAGACAGUGUGGGUAUGCUGCAUAAUCAGGUUCUUCCUUGAAGACCACUCAUCUCGCUGGUUGAUUCUUGAUGAGGCAGGUGGCAGGAGCUUGGCUUGUUUGAACCCUUCAGGGUCAGAAGUGGAGCAAGAAGACUAGGUAAGUGGAAAGAGGCAAGCCAGAGUAGAGCGCAGACCAGAAAAGCCAGAGUACACCAAGCUGAGGGCAUGACUGGCCCUCUCUUAGAGGGACAUGCACCUGACUAUUACAGAGAAAGACCCCUGAACAUCUCUUCCACCCAAUUCACCUUCCAGGUUCUCAGAUACUGAGCUAUAAUCACCAACGUUCCUGCAACCUGCUAUUGAUUUCCAAGUCUGGCGGAUGGAAUCCCUGAAGUGGCAGUUUACCAGAGAUGGAGACGCAGAAGUUUCCAGCUCUCCAUGCUAGAAACAGCAUUUGCAUUGUUCUUGCCUGGGAAAUGGAUUACUGUUUCAAAAAUAGGGCUACCCUCGUGGCAAGGAUCAUUCUGAGGCAUCAAUAGCAGGUCUUCUCAGAUCAUUUUGGACCAGGUGCCUUUCUCUGGACAUUUAUGGGAGACCCUGCAAAUCACAGAGAGACAAGAACAAACGACUAGUCCAGAGAUUUCCUUUCCUCAUUUAUAUUCUGCAUCCUAAAACGAGUCUGUUUUCUUUAUAGACAAAUUCCUUUGGAUAAGGCUGGGUCUGCAGGAGAAUCUUCAUCAGAUGCAAUCAAAGUAUAAAGUGGGUCACAUAAAAAAUCAACCAUGACUAACAUUUGAACCCAAGCUAGUUACUUGUAGAGUCAAAGUGUGUGAUCAUAGCCCUCUGGUACCUGUGUUGUGUUUUGAGGAAAGAAGAAGGAGGAAGGAAGAAGGAGGAAGGAGGAAGGAGGAAGGAGGAAGGAGAAUGACAAGGUUCAAGGCAAAAUAUACAACUCUUGGUUCAGACUGUUCUCUGAAAAAGUCAAAGAACAAUGGAAGUCUAUAGGAGAGCCCUGGACCCAGAGGUUGGGGAAAUGCUCUCUGGAUCUCUCAUGUCUAGGAUCUACUUCCCACUGUCAACACCAAAUUAUAGUACAGAAAGAUGCUUUAACACAGCUCCAAGCUGCAUCAGUCACUUCCAUUGGGUUUUAUUGGUCUUUGAGAGUUUGCCUACUGAAUAGUAAGUCUGAGGACCAACUCAUGUCCCAAGUCAGAGCAAACUGCUGUCAUCUUCGAUGUGACUUGAAAAGUCACAUGGAGAGAAGUCAGUUUUGCAUUCAGCACGGGAUGUUUUCAGAGUGUGAGGACAUACCCACCAUCUUGGGAUGAUAUCCAUUUCAGUAUGUUAAAAGUGUUUGCAAACAUAAAAUAUAUAAAGGCAUAACACAAAUGGCAUAUACAGGCCAUCAACUCUUUGAAAAGGUCAGUUUCCCUAAAACAAGUUAAGGGAGGCGCAUAUGAAGCAUGGCUGGCCUUUGAUGCUUGCAGAUUUAAGCUAACAGCACGUAGACAUGUUGCUAAGGCGUGAAUGGAGAUGCUUUACUAUAUGGUCAGCACACAGGGAAGGGCACACUACUCGGGGAGACAGGGAGCCUGGCCAGGGGGCUGGGUCCCACUUCUGGCACUAUUCUCCAACACAUGUGUGCAGUGAUUCUCAGGUAGUGGCAAAACCUUCACUCCCUUGUAAAAAAAAAAUUGUGGCCCUUGAGCCCUUAUCAAAGUCAGAAGAGGAAACAAGUAUGCGGCUGUGCAAAGCAGACUUUCUGUACUUUCUAUCCCACAGUUCUGAGAACAGCUAGGGAUGUGCAUGGGAUGAGCCCGUGCCUCGAGUGUGCUGUUGAAUCAGGAGCCCUGUUUGCCCGUCCUCAUCUCUGGGUCAAGGGACCAGAUGUACAGCCUUACUCCCCCAGUCCACUGGGACCAACCUCACUUACUGAGGUCACGGUAUAUCUUUGGUAUCGGUCCACAAAGUCUCUAGCUCACUGUACCUAGCUCUUAACCUGGGUCCACAGCUCUUCAAACACGUAAGGAGAUGUAUCUCCUAUGAAACUCUUCCUUCUACGAUAAUCCAUUUAAACUCACUUUUCUAUUCUUCUGAACUUGAAUGGCCCUUGGCACUUAUAUUCCAGGGUCAGACAGCUUGGCCAUAGUUAUCUGUCUGCCAUCAGUACUACUUACACUAUUACCAC